rnacentral:rRNA from 1 species
UACGGAGGGGGCUAGCGUUGUUCGGAAUUACUGGGCGUAAAGCGCACGUAGGCGGCUUUGUAAGUUAGAGGUGAAAGCCCAGGGCUUAACCCUGGAAUUGCCUUUAAGACUGCAUCGCUUGAAUCGUGGAGAGGUGAGUGGAAUUCCGAGUGUAGAGGUGAAAUUCGUAGAUAUUCGGAAGAACACCAGUGGCGAAGGCGACUCACUGGACACGUAUUGACG